rnacentral:rRNA from 1 species
GCCAGACUCCUACGGGAGGCAGCAGUGAGGAAUAUUGGUCAAUGGCCGCAGGGCUGAACCAGCCAAGUCGCGUGAGGGAUGACGGUCCUAUGGAUUGUAAACCUCUUUUGUCAGGGAGCAAAGGGCGCCACGUGUGGCGUUUUGCGAGUACCUGAAGAAAAAGCAUCGGCUAACUCCGUGCCAGCAGCCGCGGUAAUACGUAGGUGGCAAGCGUUGUCCGGAUUUACUGGGUGUAAAGGGCGUGUAGCCGGGUUAACAAGUCAGAUGUGAAAUCCUGCGGCUUAACCGCAGAACUGCAUUUGAAACUGUUGAUUUUGAGUACUGGAGAGGCAGACGGAAUUCCUAGUGUAGCGGUGAAAUGCGUAGAUAUUAGGAGGAACACCAGUGGCGAAGGCGGUCUGCUGGACAGCAACUGACGGUGAGGCGCGAAAGCGUGGGGAGCAAACAGGAUUAGAUACCCGCGUAGCG